ensembl:snoRNA U3 Small nucleolar RNA U3
GUGAAACUACUUUCAGGGAUCAUUUCUAUAGUUUGUUACUAGAAGACUCUCAUCCUAAGUGAGGUAAGUCAGAAAGAGAAGGACAAGUACCAUAUGA